rnacentral:rRNA from 1 species
GCUGACGAGCGGCGAACGGGUGAGUAACGCGUAGGAAUCUACCCAGUAGCGGGGGAUAGCCAGAGGAAACUCUGAUUAAUACCGCAUACGCCCUGAGGGGGAAAGGGGGCAAUUUAUUGCUCUCACUAUUGGAUGAGCCUGCGUAAGAUUAGCUUGUUGGUAGGGUAAAGGCCUACCAAGGCUACGAUCUUUAGCUGGUCUGAGAGGACGAUCAGCCACAUUGGGACUGAGACACGGCCCAGACAUCUACGGAUGGCAGCAGUUAAGAAUAUUGGACAAUGGGGGCAACCCUGAUCCAGGUAUACCGCGUGUGUGAAGAAGGCCUUAGGGUUGUAAAGCACUUUAAUCAGAGAAGAAGCAUUUUAAGUUAAUACCUUAAUUUGUUGACGUUAACUGAAGAAUAAGGACCGGCUAACUCCGUGCCAGCAGCCGCGGUAAUACGGAGGGUCCAAGCGUUAAUCGGAAUUACUGGGCGUAAAGCGCGCGUAGGCGGUUUAGCAAGUUGUAUGUGAAAGCCCUGGGCUCAACCUAGGAACUGCAUCCAAAACUACUAAGCUAGAGUACGAGAGAGGAGAGUAGAAUUUCUGGUGUAGCGGUGAAAUGCGUAGAUAUCAGAAGGAAUACCAAUGGCGAAGGCAGCUCUCUGGCUCGUAACUGACGCUGAGGUGCGAAAGCGUGGGUAGCAAACAGGAUUAGAUACCCUGGUAGUCCACGCCGUAAACGAUGACAACUAGCCGUUGGGCAGAUUUAACUGUUCAGUGGCACAGCUAACGCA